rnacentral:rRNA from 1 species
GAUGAACGCUGGCGGCGUGCCUAAUACAUGCCAGUCGAGCGAACAGACGAGGAGCUUGCUCCUUUGACGUUAGCGGCGGACGGGUGAGUAACACGUGGAUAACCUACCUAUAAGACUGGGAUAACUUCGGGAAACCGGAGCUAAUACCGGAUAACAUGUUGAACCGCAUGGUUCAACAGUGAAAGACGGUCUUGCUGUCACUUAUAGAUGGAUCCGCGCCGCAUUAGCUAGUUGGUAAGGUAACGGCUUACCAAGGCAACGAUGCGUAGCCGACCUGAGAGGGUGAUCGGCCACACUGGAACUGAGACACGGUCCAGACUCCUACGGGAGGCAGCGGUAGGGAAUCUUCCGCAAUGGGCGAAAGCCUGACGGAGCAACGCCGCGUGAGUGAAGAAGGUCUUCGGAUCGUAAAACUCUGUUAUUAGGGAAGAACAAAUGUGUAAGUAACUAUGCACGUCUUGACGGUACCUAAUCAGAAAGCCACGGCUAACUACGUG